rnacentral:rRNA from 1 species
GACGAACGCUGGCGGCGUGCCUAAUACAUGCAAGUAGAACGCUGACGGCGGAGCUUGUUUCUCUGGGGGAGUUGCGAACGGGUGAGUAGCGCGUAGGUUACCUGCCUGGUAGCGGGGGUUAACUAUUGGACACGAUAGCUCAUACCGGAUAAUAGUAGUCGUUGCUUGACAUUUGCUCAACAGGUGAGCUUGCUUCGCUACUAGAUGGUCCUAAGUUGUAUUAGCUAGUUGGUGGGGUAACGGCUCACCAAGGGCACGUUACAUAGGCGACCUGAGAGGGGAAGCGGACACACUGGGACUGAGACACGGCCCAGAAUACUACGGGUGAGAGCAGUAGCGAAUUUUCGGCAAUGGACGGAAUUCGGACCGAGGAACGCCGCGCGAGUGAAGAAGGUAGUCGGGUCGUAAAGCUCUGUUGUAAGAGAGGAUCGAGUAUGAGUGUGGAAAGUUCACACUGUGACGGUACCUUACCAGAAAGGGACGGCUAACUACGUG